GAGUUUGAUCAUGGCUCAGAACGAACGCUGGCGGCGCGCCUAAUACAUGCAAGUCGAGCGAGAAGACGUAGCAAUACGUUUGUAAAGCGGCGAACGGGUGAGGAAUACAUGGGUAACCUACCCUCGAGUGGGGAAUAACUAGCCGAAAGGUUAGCUAAUACCGCAUACGACUCUUGGUCUGCGGACCGGGAGGGAAAGCGAUACCGUGGGUAUCGCGCUCUUGGAUGGGCUCAUGUCCUAUCAGCUUGUUGGUGAGGUAACGGCUCACCAAGGCUUCGACGGGUAGCUGGUCUGAGAGGACGAUCAGCCACACUGGCACUGCGACACGGGCCAGACUCCUACGGGAGGCAGCAGUAAGGAAUAUUGCGCAAUGGGCGACAGCCUGACGCAGCGACGCCGCGUGGGGGAUGAAGGUCUUCGGAUUGUAAACCCCUUUCGGCAGGGAAGAUGGGACGGGCAACCGUUCGGACGGUACCUGCAGAAGCAGCCACGGCUAACUUCGUGCCAGCAGCCGC
rnacentral:rRNA from 1 species